AUUACUGUUCUGGUAAAAUAUCAAGCUGAUGUAAAAGUCGUUUUUCUUCUUGCUAUUGUCGGCUGAUAUGUGAAGUUGUUCUUUUCACGUAAGUGUGAGAUUUGGGACCGAGUCAGAAGCGGUUCUCUUUAGUUUUGGUAUUGGCAGCAUAAGUGUGAGUCUCACACACUGUGAGAUUUGGGAUUGAGUCAGUUGGAUUGAAAUCGAAAAGACAGAGCUUUCUGGGUUAUUUUUGCAGGACGAAAGAGGGGACAGAGCGGGAAUAGAGACGGUGAGAUCUGUGUUGCUUUGAAAAAAUUUGAUACUUUAGUUUUGGUUUCGUUUCGCUAAUAUGAUUGAUUGAGUAAGGAAAACGAUUUCUAAAGUGUAUGGGAAAAUUUGAUUUUGUAAAACAACUAGAAUAUCUCAUAGGCUAUGUAUCUGUUAUUUCAGUUGAAUAAGUCUUCAAUCGGAAAUAGUGAUUUCUAUUUGAUUCAUCAGUUGAAAUAUAUACAUUGAAAAAAUGGUUUCUGUUCAGUUUAUCAAUUCAGGUUUCAUAUACCUAAUCUGCAGAACAACUAGAACAAAAGUAACAAUAAAAGAUUUUUGUUCUUAUGGAUUUCAAUUGAUUGAAUUCGCAGGUCGUGUGUUAUCAACAAUAUCAUUCCGUUAAUAUUGUCUUCCAAUUCAAAGAAGUUGCCCGUUUUUUGUUUUUUUCCCCUUUUCUGUCUUUAAUGAUUCAUAGUCUUUUUAAUCGAAGAUAUUGAUUGUGAUGAAACUAAAGAAAUUGGUCAGUGCUGGUAGAUUCAGAACACACAAAGAGAGACUACACUAAGCAGUAAACAAACAAGGAACCCAGACAUAGUAAUCAAGCUAAUGACUGCUGGUUUCACUAAUGUUGCAAUUUCACAUUCUGACUUAGUGGUCACUUACAUUUAAAUGUAUUCUGUUAAGUCUUGAUAAUAAAUAAUUUCAUAUACAGUGUUCAGCUAUCCUGCUUUUUAGUUAAAGUAACUUAAACAAUUGCGUAUACAGUGCUCAGCUAUCCUACUUUUUAGUUAAAUGCAAAACAAACAAAAUUCUACUCCCAUCAAUAUUCUUAUGACUGCCAUUUUCAUGUUUGAUGCCAACAUUGAUGCACAUUUAUCAUUUAUUGCUAUCCUGCUACAACCAAAAAGUACAUUUGCUCGGUUGUCAGAUGAUUGGCAAUAUUUGUCUCUAUCAAAUUAAGACAUGCUAGUCAUUCCUUGAUGUUAUUCAUAUACAUGCACCAUAUUGGCUCAAUACUUGGGUAAACAUCAGAUACUUCCUAUUGUCUUUAGAUCCUUUGAAGCUGCUGGUGCUCUUGAGAAGUUUGUACAGAGUGAUUAUGGUGAAGAUAUAAGGUUUUGUUAGAAUAAAGGUGCGUAAACUUCCUUAAAAGGUGGGUGUACCCGGGAGUGCGAGGUUCUGUUUUUUAGAAUAGGUCAUUUGUAUGUCCUAAAGGGCGGCUCUUUCUGUCGGCCCUUCAGGGGGGUAUCAGUAGAUGGAAUGAAGAACAAGUGAAGGAUGGUGACCUUUUAGCGUCCAAAGAAAGCAAUCUGAGCUGCGUUUCUUCAGCCCGGCAACUCUAGCUACCGGUAUGUUGGAAUUUGGUAUUCUAAGUCUAAUAUAUCUGAACAAACAGUUGUAUGGGUUGCAAACAGGAACAAUCCCAUCAGUGAUACCUCUGGUGUCCUCACAAUAAGCAGGUAUGGACUAUGGAGGACUAGUGCUCUAUGCUCAUAACAUGGAGAGUAUUCCUAUGUGGUACACAAAUGUGUCGCAGUUGGUCCAAAACUCAAGCACUUUAUCUGCGCAGCUUUUAGAUACAGGAAAUUUAGUUCUGUUCCAGGAUGAUAAAACUAGGAUAUUUAUAGGGAAAAGUUUUGAUUAUCUUACAGAUACUCUAAUCCCAGGUAUGAAAGUGGGGAUAAUUGGGAAACUGGGCUAGAAUGGAUUAUAACAUCUUGGAAGUCACAAGAUGACCCUGAAGCCGGGGACUAUACCGAUAGGCUAUAUUCAAAUCAAACUGCAAUCCCUGAAUUUUUUAUAUACAAAGGUACAUGCCGGUAUUGGAGAAGUGAUUAUUCCGGGAUUAAUUUUGUCAGUAACCAGUACAAUACUAAUAUGUGGUAUGGACAGUGUGGUGCCAACAGUUAAUGCAGCCCUGACAAUACCAAGAUGGUCGAGUAUGAUUUACCAGGAUAUGAACUGAAGUCUUUAAAUGAUUGGAAUCAGAGAAAUGGGUCAGAUGGAUGUGUGAGUAAGUGAGUUGAAGUGUCAAAGUGUGGGAAUGAAGAAGGGUUUGUGCAGAUGUAAAAGUCAAGGAGCCCGACACAUCGAAAGCUGCAAGGUUGGAAAGAAUUAUGAGUGCCAAAAAGUGCAAGCAGCAGUGCUUAAGAAAUUGUUCUUGCACAGCAUAUAUGAGCAUGGACAUUGAAGGGCGCAUUGAUUGCUUGACAUGGUAUGGUGAGUUGCUGGACAUCACAGAGCACACUGCAGUGGGACGAGAUCUUUAUGUUCAUGUAGAUCAUAUGGAGUCAGCUGAGAAUGCCAGAAAAUCAAAAGGCUUCUUUGGAAGGAGGGUGAUGCUGACUGUUCCAAUAUUGUCUGUUCUUCUGCCAUUGGUACUGGUCAUUGGCUUAAGAGGAAAACAGAAGAGGCCGAUGAACUUGAGGAAACGAGGAGACACCCAGAAUUACAGUUUUUCGAUCUGAACACACUAAUAGAUGCCACGGAAAACUUCUCUCCAGUCAAUGAACUUUUUUGGCUCAGUCUAUAAGGGUUAGUUACCAGACAACAAGAAGAUUGCUGUAAAAAGAUUGUCCAAAAAUUCAGGACAAGGGAUUGAACAAUUCAAAAAUGAAUAGCUAGACUUCAACACAGGAAUCUUGUGAAACUGUUGGGAUGUUGUAUAAAGGAGAAGAAAGGAUGUUAAUCCUGGAAUACAUGCCAAACAAUAGCUUGGACUCCUUUCUUUUUGGUAUCACUCUAGCAAAUUUACAUUUGUAUAUGCCUUGUCCAAAGACAUGAGGAAAUGAAGCUACGACCAUUAAACAUGUACCACAUUUAUUGACAUAAAACCCAAAUCUCUUGAUAUAAAUCGUAGAAGAAGCACAUCCUUAGAUUGGAACAAGCGCCUUGAAACUAUCAAUGGGAUUGCUCACGGACUCCUUUAUCUUCAGUUCUUCACCAAGACUCGAGACUGUGGAUUAUCCAAAGAGAUCUGAAAACUAGCAAUGUUCUUCUAGAUGCUGAAAUGAACCCAAAAAUUUCAUAUUUUGGCAUGGCAAGAAUAUUCCAUGGCGACCAACUCCUGGAGAAGACAGAGAAUUGUUGGAACAUAGGAAGUCGACUAAAACUUGCACACUCAUACUACUUGACUAAAUCACCUUUCAUAUUCAUUCGACAAUGCAUUUUGAUUGUAACAUUGUGUUUUCUUCAUAUGCAGUGGUUAUAUGUCACCAGAGUAUGUUGUAUUUGAAAUUUUUUUCACAAAAUUCGAUGUCUUUAGUUUUGGGAUCAUACAAUUGGAGAUUCUAAGUGGCAAGAAAAGUAGCGGUCUGCAAGAGGAUCAUUCCAUGAACUUGAUAGGAUAUAUGUCUGGCAGCUGUGGAGAGAAGACAGAGCCUUAGAAAUGUUGGACUCAUCACUAGAGUCAUAUCAGCCUAAUGAAGUGUUAAGAUGUAUUCAAGUUGGGUUGCUGGGUGUAGAAGAUUCAAAUGACCGACCAACCAUGUAAGCUGUUUUUUUCAAGUUAAGUGGUGACGCAUCUCCACCAUCUCCUCAACAACCAGCAUUCGUCUUCAAAAAUCUUUCUAGCCAUGAUGCCGAUCCAUUGAUUCCAAAAGGAUUAUAUUCUGUGAAUAGCUUGACAAUUAGUAAAGAGGAAGAUCCUAUGUGAACUUCUGGAACCUCAUUGCGCGUGCGCAUGGAAAGCUGUUUGUGUGAAGCCUGCCGACAUUGUUGGUUACAUGAAUAUUGCAGAGUUUCUCUGUUUAAUUGUUUGUUUUUGUCAAACAGAAAACAAUAGGGAUCAAUAUCAUCGAUCUAAAUACAAUGUCUUAUUAUUAGUAGAUGGCAAAUUUGCAGACAUAUACACCUUUUUUGACACCAUUGUUGUUAUGACUUUAAUAUUUUAUAAAGAAUGUCCUGCUUAUUUGGUGGUUUACCAUGA